GAUGAAGAACGUAGCGAAAUGCGAUAAGUAAUGUGAAUUGCAGAAUUCAGUGAAUCAUCGAAUCUUUGAACGCACCUUGCGCCUUUUGGUAUUCCGAAAGGCACACCUGUUUGAGCGUCAUGAAUACCUCAAUCUCCAUCUUUUCUUCGGAUUGAUGGGUGACUUGGAUGUUGAGCCCUGCUGGUAUGCUAUAUCAGCUGGCUUUAAACUUAUUAGCCGGCUCUGUACUGGAUCGGUUUGACUCGACGUGAUAAUAUUAUCGUUGAGGAUGCAUGUCUCAUGCAGCCGGAAAGUAUCAAAGCAGAUUCUAGCUUGCCUUUAGUGCACUUUUACAUUUUAGAACUCAGAUCAGGUGGGACUACCCGCUGAACUUAAGCAUAUCAAUAAGCGGAGGA
rnacentral:misc_RNA from 1 species